AACGAACGCUGGCGGCAGGCCUAACACAUGCAAGUCGAGCGAGGUCUUCGGGUCUAGCGGCGGACGGGUGAGUAACGCGUGGGAAUAUGCCUCUUGGUACGGAAUAGCCUCGGGAAACUGGGAGUAAUACCGUAUGUGCCCUUUGGGGGAAAGAUUUAUCGCCAAGAGAUUAGCCCGCGUUGGAUUAGGUAGUUGGUGGGGUAAUGGCCUACCAAGCCGACGAUCCAUAGCUGGUUUGAGAGGAUGAUCAGCCACACUGGGACUGAGACACGGCCCAGACUCCUACGGGAAGCAGCAGUGGGGAAUCUUAGACAAUGGGGGCAACCCUGAUCUAGCCAUGCCGCGUGAGUGAUGAAGGCCUUAGGGUUGUAAAGCUCUUUCAGCUGGGAAGAUAAUGACGGUACCAGCAGAAGAAGCCCCGGCUAACUCCGUG
rnacentral:rRNA from 1 species